rnacentral:rRNA from 1 species
UACGGGGGGGGUAAGCGUUGUUCGGAAUUACUGGGCGUAAAGGGCUCGUAGGCGGCCAACUAAGUCAGACGUGAAAUCCCUCAGCUUAACUGGGGAACUGCGUCUGAUACUGGAUGGCUUGGAUUCGGGAGAGGAAUGCGGAAUUCCAGGUGUAGCGGUGAAAUGCGUAGAUAUCUGGAGGAACACCGGUGGCGAAGGCGGCAUCCUGGACCGGCACUGACGCUGAGGAGCGAAAGCCAGGGGAGCAAACGGG